rfam:Paenibacillus sp. FSL A5-0031 NODE_31_length_64736_cov_1.94446_ID_5183, whole genome shotgun sequence.
CCGUGCUAGAUGGGGAGGUAGCGGUGCCCUGUAACUCGCAAUCCGCUGUAGCGAGGUUGAAUUCCUACUUGAGGUUAUACUGAUGUAGGGUCUUGGCACUUGCGAGCAGUGUUGACAGUUGGGUCCUCCGCAAUGGACGUUUAUGAACUUGGUCAGGUCCGGAAGGAAGCAGCCAUAAGUAAAUUAGUUCAUGUGCCGGGGGAGUGCCUGACUCGAGCUGUAGUGCAAGGAUGUCGCCUGGGUCGUAUUUAUCAGGAGUAGGUGCACGG